ensembl:lncRNA
CGGAAGAAGCGUGCAGAAAUCAUGUGUUAUGUUUUAAGUGUAAGAGAACUCCAUUUUUCACAUGUAAAUGGUAUACAGACAUGUCAUCAGUUUAAUUUGAUAUAAGUUUUUCUUUUUUUUUUUUUUUUUUUUAGGUCUGCCAGGUAGAAUACACUUUGUUCCACAAAAAGUGAAGCUCUAUGGCACCUCAUAGACAUGCACUUACUUUUGCGUUCAUGAAAAGAUUUUUCUUUUUAUGUUUCUGUGUUUCCCCAAAAGCGGGUCUGAAUGGAACUAUAUGAAAACUGUUGUCUUUCUUCCAAUGCGCAACUUUUUUAUUAGACGUUUUGUUUUUUUUUUUGUUAUUUAAUAUUAUAUAUUGACUCCAAAAUGCAAUCGAGACUGUUAAUUUCUAUUUGUCCAACCAAAAUUGUUGUUUUUAAUUAUUGUUGAAAUAUAAUGUGUGAGAAAAAGCCAGGUGAAUACUUGCUUAGCGUAGAAAAUCCUUGCUUGUGUCUGUAAUUGUUGAAAUUUUUAAAUGUUUUUAAUGCUACAGAAUCAUUCACUUUACCCUAGAAACAUAUUUUGUUUAACUUUGUCCUUUCCACAGAUGUUUCCUUUCUUCUUUGUUAUUUCAUUAAGCACAUAUUUUCUAAAGAAACACGGAUUGUUUGCGGGUUAAAACCUUGGAACAGCAGUAUCUGUUCAUAUGCAGUGGAAUAUACAGUAUGUACUAAAGUGCUAAUGAUACAGAAGAUGUGUAACUUCCCUUUACGCUCAGUGGAAGAAGAUAUAUUUUAAGUCAUAGUGAUAGUCAUCCUCUUCGUGUCACUUUUACCUUCAAAUCACUGUGGGAGGGGUUAUAUAACGUAUAUAUAUAUAUAUAUAUAUAUGUUGAGAAUAUAUGAGAUAAAUAUAUAUAUAUAUGAAGAAUAUAUUAUUUAAAUGGUGGAUUUACUUAAUGGAACACAUUGACAGUCAGUUACAAACCUGCUGUGGCGGUUUGUUUCCGUGAAACUUUAACCUUCCGCUUUCUCUCUCUGUUCACGCUGUGUGCUUGUUCAUCACACCAUCCUGUUGUCUUGUUCUUUUGAUACUAUUUACCAUCCUACUGAUUUUACUGUAAUGAAUGAAACUCAAACUAUGAUGUAUCAUUUUAGAUUUUAUGCUGUAUUUGUUAUAUGGACAAGAAAAAAAAAACUCAAAAAACAAAGCAAAAACACUACAGAUGUAAAGCAGAGGUUUUUUUCCCCAGCUGUAUUUUUUUACGCUGUUGCAAAAGGUUGUAUUUUUCAAUUUCUCUCGAACUUUAACAGUGAUGCAAAACUUUGGGCCGCGCCUCAGUGCCCUCCGAACACAAAGCAAAUUCAGGUUACUCUUUUUACGUUUUUAUCAAAGGUUUUCAAAGAUGGAACUACAUUCUCCUUUUUUCUGUCUGAAUUGUACUACUGUUCCUCUCUAUACUACAUUUUAAGAAUAAAACUUUGAUAUUGCUUUAA